UACGUAGGGGGCGAGCGUUGUCCGGAAUGACUGGGCGUAAAGGGCAUGUAGGCGUCCCGGCAAGCCCCGGUUGAAAUCCUUUUGCUUAACAGAAGGUCCGGACGGGGAACUGCCGGGAUUGAGGGCAGGAGAGGGUGACGGAAUUCUCGGUGUAGCGGUGAAAUGCGUAGAUAUCGGGAGGAACACCAGUGGCGAAAGCGGUCACCUGGCCUGCUUCUGACGUUCAAGUGCGAAAGCUGGGGGAGCGAACGGG
rnacentral:rRNA from 1 species